GACGAACGCUGGCGGCGUGCUUAACACAUGCAAGUCGAACGGAAAGGCCCUGCUUUUGUGGGGUGCUCGAGUGGCGAACGGGUGAGUAACACGUGAGUAACCUGCCCUUGACUUUGGGAUUACUUCAGGAAACUGGGGCUAAUACCGGAUAGGAGCUCCUGCUGCAUGGUGGGGGUUGGAAAGUUUCGGCGGUUGGGGAUGGACUCGCGGCUUAUCAGCUUGUUGGUGGGGUAGUGGCUUACCAAGGCUUUGACGGGUAGCCGGCCUGAGAGGGUGACCGGCCACAUUGGGACUGAGAUACGGCCCAGACUCCUACGGGAGGCAGCAGUGGGGAAUAUUGCACAAUGGGCGGAAGCCUGAUGCAGCAACGCCGCGUGCGGGAUGACGGCCUUCGGGUUGUAAACCGCUUUCGCCUGUGACGAAGCGUGAGUGACGGUAAUGGGGAAAGAAGCACCGGCUAACUACGU
rnacentral:rRNA from 1 species